rnacentral:rRNA from 1 species
GAUGAACGCUGGCGGCGUGCCUAACACAUGCAAGUCGAGCGAUUCUCUUCGGAGAAGAGCGGCGGACGGGUGAGUAACGCGUGGGUAACCUGCCCUGUACACACGGAUAACAUACCGAAAGGUAUGCUAAUACGAGAUAAUAUGCUUUUAUCGCAUGGUAGAAGUAUCAAAGCUUUUGCGGUACAGGAUGGACCCGCGUCUGAUUAGCUAGUUGGUAAGGUAACGGCUUACUAAGGCGACGAUCAGUAGCCGACCUGAGAGGGUGAUCGGCCACAUUGGAACUGAGCACCGGUCCGAACUCCUACGGGAGGCAGCAGUGGGGAAUCUUGCACAAUGGGCGAAAGCCUGAUGCAGCAACGCCGCGUGAGCGAUGAAGGCCGUCGGGUCGUAAAGCUCUGUCCUCAAGGAAGAUAAUGACGGUACUUGAGGAGGAAGCCCCGGCUAACUACGUGCCAGCAGCCGCCGUAA